CAGGGAGAGGCCCACGUACCGCAAAAAAAAAAAAAAAAAAAAAAAAAAAAAAAAAAAAAGCAAGGCCCGCGUACCGCAAAAAAAAAAAAAAAAAAAAAAAAAAAAAAAAAAAAAAAAAAAAAAAAUCAAA